AGCUCACUGGUACGUUUCUGACACUCAUGGACGAAAGCGUGGGGAGCAAACAGGAUUAGAUACCCUGGUAGUCCACGCCCUAAACGAUGCGAACUAGGUAUUGGCAGUAUCGACCCUGUCAGUGCCGUUUAAAAAAGCUAACGCGUUAAGUUCGCCGCCUGGGGAGUACGGCCGCAAGGCUAAAACUCAAAGAAAUAGACGGGGACCCGCACAAGCGGUGGAGCAUGUGGUUUAAUUCGAUGGUAAACGGGGAACCUUACCUGGGCUCAACUACUAGCUGCAAGCUUCCAGAAACGGAAGCCGCCUUCGAGGGUGCUAGAUAGGUGCUGCAUGGUUGCCGUCAGCUCGUGCCGUGA
rnacentral:rRNA from 1 species